CCGAAAGCUGAUUCCAGCUACAGGUUCAUACUGUUGUAUUCUUUUAUACUGUUUCAUUCGUACUGUUUUAAAUCAUUCAGUAAAUGCAAAGUUAAACCGUCGUGUUUUUCAUCUAGAUUUAAAAGUGUCUACCGUUGAAACACAUCUGAUCUCUUCUGAAAGCUGAUUCCAGCUCCAGGUGGCAUAUUAACUGAAUGCUGAUGCACCUUGUAUUUCGAUUGCUUUGUAUGCUUGAAACAUGUGAAGAAUUGACAAUAAAUAAUCUUUAUCAAGUGUUAUACAUUAAAAAGUGGAUAAGUAACAAAAAUGUCACUCCUGACAGCUGAUAAAUUAAUGUUUUUUUAUAGCACCAUUGAGGCGAGCACUUUUCAAGGCAAGAUUCUUUAUAGAACCUUAUAAAAAGUUUCCAUAUAGUACCAAAAAACGGGUUCUGCUGUGGUUACAUGCUGAGGAACCCUUAUUUGGUACUUUUUAGGAGCAUUUGUCUUAAGAGUGUUGCAUAGGUUCGAAACUUUCAAACUUGAAACCAAAUAGAAGGGUCACACUGUUUUUUUUUUGUGGAGUGGACAUGAACAAGCUGCAGGCAUUCAAAUGUUAUUUGUAAUUUAUUGUCUUAUUUCAUAUUUAAAAAAUAGCUAUACAACUGGUGUUCCUCAAUUUUAGGGCCUAUUUUGUUUAGUAUAUCAGUUUUGUUCAGUUUUUUAUGUGCAUGCAAAAAGCAAUCAGCAAGCAAAUUAACUGAAGCUUUACCUUCAUGUUCUUUUUGUGUAAGUGAUAACUGUUUCUGUAUGUAUUUUAUGUAUUUGUAUGUUUUUUACACGUAUAGAGUGAAAUGCACACGGUGAGGAAUGGACCCAGACCUUCAGUGCCAGACCUCUGACCCGUUAACCUCCAUCCCGACAGCCAGCGCCUUCUCCGGCUCCCAUUGCGGUAUCGCUUCUCGGCUUUUUGGACAAGAACAAGUGGACACCGGGGACUACAAGUUUAAAUGGAUUUUUGACCUUCGGAAAUGGAAGCGAGGCUUGCUCCGUCCACUCCGUUCAUCGACUCGGGCGCUUUCCGGGCACAAAUAAGUUUGCGGAGGUGAUACCAGGACGAAUUAAACAGCCUCGACACAGCUGAAGGCGCAAGAAAAUCGUACGAGACAGUUUGGGAUGUUAAAAACACCUGAAAACUUUUUUUCCACUACCCUUCAUACUACAGCGGUCGAAAAACCACAGCAACGUCGACACGCCUGGAAGCAUAGCUGUAUUUGUUUAAGACAACGGGUAAAGUAUUUUCUUGAUUACCUAAAUGACUUGCAGUAAGAAAAUAUUUUAAUUUAUAAUGAUAACUCUGUCAUCAUUUAUUCAUCCUCGUGUUGUUUUCAACCUGUAUGCAUUCGUAUUUUGGAGGUGACACGAUGACGACUUAAACAUCAUCGACACAGCUGAAAAAGCGAACGAGACAGAUUGGGAUGUUCAAAACACCUGAAAACUUUUUUUUCACUGUACUACAGCUGUCGAAGAACCACAGCAACGUCGGCAGAUCUGGAAGCAUAGCUGUAUUUGUUUAACUCACAACGACAACGGGUAAGUCAUUGAGCCCUUGUGUUUUUAUUUAUCCACGUUCUAAAAUUGCUAUGCUUUCGUUGUUUCUCGAUUGCUCUGUACAUUUCUUUGUUUCUAUUCCACGUAAAGUUACUUUGUAAUAACGAAACGAUAUAUUGAAAUGCGCUAUUUAAAUCCAUUUGAUUUAAAUUGUUUCACGUUUUUCUCUCUGCACGGUUUAACCGGGCUGGAAACGGAAAAUGGGUAGAUCUCGAAGAAUAUUUGGUUUCAGACCUGGCUUCGUGCGCCUUUCCACCUGGUCACACACAGUAAUGAAAUGGUAGUCGGACGGCCUUCGGGGGCGCCGUCGAUGUGAUCGGUCACAGGAAGAUGCGGCCGUCUGGCCUCAAAGGCUGUUGCUCAUACUUACCUGGCAGGGGAGAUACCAUGAUCAUGAAGGUGGUUCACCCAGGGCGAGGCUCAGCCAUUGCACUCCGGUUGUGCUGACCCUUUGCGAAUUCCCCAAAUGUGGGAAUCUCGACUGCAAAAUUUCUGAUAGUGGGGGACUGCGUUCGCGCUCUCCCCUGGC